GAGACAAUAGUAAUAAAUGUGGAAAAAUACAUUUCUGCCAGAAUGAGUUGCAAGUUCGAAUCUUGCUUGUCUCCCCA
rnacentral:tRNA from 1 species